GUGGGUGUAGCCAAGUGGUUAAGGCGCCGGAUUGUGAUUCCGGUAUUCGUGGGUUCAAUUCCCAUCAUCCACC
rnacentral:tRNA from 1 species